AUGGCUGCACGACAUCUUUGCUAUGAUGCCAAUGGACAUGAGCUGGAAGGGUCAUCUACUUCUCUUUCACCUAUCAUCAAGAAAUUUUACUCACAAACAUGCUCGCGGUUCAGCUUGGCAUUGCAUGAAGCUGAACAUUGUGUGGAAAAGAUGGAAUACUUGAACAUAGUUGUUGCUGAUGCUCUUGCACACUUGAGGCAGACAACGCCACUUGACGAACAAAGUAAAGUUCAAAAGUUUGAAUCCUUUAUUGGAACGACAUUCCCAAGCAUCAUCAAUAUUCAUCCCCCUGAUAUUGCAAAUACAAAGGGCAGUGGCAAGAGAUUGAGGAGGGUUUAG
rnacentral:rRNA from 1 species